UAGGGAAUCUUCCACAAUGGACGCAAGUCUGAUGGAGCAACGCCGCGUGAGCGAAGAAGGUUUUCGGACCGUAAAGCUCUGUUGUUGGUGAAGAAGGAUAGAGGUAGUAACUGGCCUUUAUUUGACGGUAAUCAACCAGAAAGUCACGGCUAACUACGUGCCAGCAGCCGCGGUAAUACGUAGGUGGCAAGCGUUGUCCGGAUUUAUUGGGCGUAAAGCGAGCGCAGGCGGAAGAAUAAGUCUGAUGUGAAAGCCCUCGGCUUAACCGAGGAAUUGCAUCGGAAACUGUUUUCUUGAGUGCAGAAGAGGAGAGUAGAACUCCAUGUGUAGCGGUGGAAUGCGUAGAUAUAUGGAAGAAUACCAGUGGCGAAGGCGGCUCUCUGGUCUGCAACUGACGCUGAGGCUCGAAAGCAUGGGUAGCGAACAGGAUUAGAUACCCUGGUAGUCCAUGCCGUAAACGAUGAGUGCUAAGUGUUGGGAGGCUUCCGCCUCUCAGUGCUGCAGCUAACGCAUUAAGCACUCCGCCUGGGGAGUACGACCGCAAGGUUGAAAC
rnacentral:rRNA from 1 species